GUUAAAAUUAUGAAGCUGAAGAAAGCCACAGAGUUUAAAAAUAUUAGCAUCCAAAUAACACCAACAUUAUGAAUUAGUGAAAGGUAGUAGGAAGAAGCUUCACAACAUAUUAUGCGGAUAACCAGAAUAAAUCAGGAAACAGCAGAAACAAGUGAUGCAUACUGUUUAUAGUAAUAAUUAAGUUCGGUGGGUGUACAAGAAGAGAAGUUGCCAAUUCGAGAAACUUAUGAGAAUGGGGACUUGGUUGGAACGCAGUUAAUUAUUAUGAAACCCUAGCAUUAUUGAUACAUGCAUGGUCACAAGAGAAAUAGGGGAAUUGUUGCAAGAACCCAAAAAAAACCAUAUAAAUUGAUGAGUCCUGUUUAUUCACAAACAAUAUACAAUUGAGGACGCAUCACUAGGUGUUUGUGGGAAUUUGUCAAGAGGAUGGGAAAUGUUUUUGUUUGCCGUGCCUUUCAGGAGAAAAAAAUUGUGGCUUUAUAUUAUUGGCCAGUACUUAGAACCCGGAACUACUAUUAUGUCUGAUGUGUGGAAUUCCAAUACCAAAACUAUUAAAGUAGAAGAUGAAUUUUAUACACUUCACUGUUAAUCAGUUCACUGUUAAUACAGAAACUGGAGCACAUACAUAAAGAGCAAAGAGAAGGUUGAAGUAGUAACUUAAAACUGAUUUGCCAACUAAGAUAUUAAAAUGCAAAUAGUAGAAAACAAGAUUAAUCGCAAUGAGUAUUUGCUCUUUGGAUGGAUCAAUAUGACUUGAUAAUCUUACUAAUCUCCCUUUAUUCAAUAUGUAGUAAGAAAGCUGCAAAUAAUUAUUUGUAUAGCUUCAGUACAAAUGAUUUCUCAAAAGUGAAAACAAUACUAUUUGCUCGUAUAUGUUUUUCUAAGCUGCCAAACUCUCCCAGGCAGGCCGCGGGUUCGCCAUCCCUAGCCAAAGAACACCUCUGAGUUGAAGAGGAGGCGCUCCAUUAUGUUAGAAACAAAGAAAUGUAAUCAAAAUGAGUAUUUACAUAUUGUAGUCUAUGAGUUCUUAGCCUAACAGAAUAAUUUAAUAGAAUAAAACCAAUAUUAUAUCAUUAGAAAACCGGUAUAAACAAAGUGACUCAUUUUAUUUUCUCAGCAUGUUGAUACCAACGCAACGGUUGUAAUAAAAACAUUUUCCUACUUUCCUCACAUCGAUGGUCAAUAUAUAUUUGCCUUUAUCUGGCAAUAAAAAAAUAAUUGAAAAUUGUCAAAUAUUGUAGAGGAUAUCUCGUUUAAAAUAUACAAUUUUUUAUAUUAUUUGGAACUACAUUUGGCAUUUGCUGGUCUGUCGACGAUACUAUAUAACCAAAAUGCGCUACUCUGUUUCACAGGUUAACAUAUUUACAUAUGUACUCUGUAUUUAACUAUUGCACAUUGUAGAAAGUGAAGGUAAUAAAAUAUGUGAUUACUA